UUAUGUGAAAACGGAGAGAUAUUUGUUUCAGGAUUUUUGCGUUUGGAUACAACGUUCAGAUAACGCCAAGCCUGCUAGCUACUUCCUCUAACGAGAUCUUUAUAUUCCGCAAAAUUUAAUCUUCUAGUUUAAAAAUUUAAUCGGCUGACAAUUAUGGAAAAAUCAAAGUGGACUUGUGUUGUGCUCUUAUGCACCCCAUUGGUAUUGGGUUUUCCGCAAACACUCGCUGAUAAUACUCAACAAUGCUCCCUUCAAGGAUUCGACAUAGAGCCACUGACAAAAGAUUCUUCCUGCCUGAAGAGAGAAGACUCGCCUCUUGAACGUUGACGUAUAUAUCAUCGUCAGUAUAGGAGAUUAUUAUAUAUUCCUACGCGUUACUACGAUCUCGAAAUCUAAUUAAUUGCAUCAACAGGUCAAUCUGGGUCGUUCAGGAGCAGGGUGAAAAAUGUCCGAACAAAAGAGACGAAUAUUGUACUUACUUAUUCUCAAUAUGCCACCAUAAUUGGGAGCUUUUUAACCUGUGCGCGAACACAAAUACCGCUUGUGUCAAACAGGGAAAUCAAACAACUGUGCUGGGUGACACCGCACCCACUUUGAGCUCGAUUGAUGAUCAGCGUUUCCAUGUGGUCUAUGUCGCUAACCUAUCCAAUGAUAAUACAUCAAAAACAACGAACACGAUCAUUGAGUUCUUAUGUGACCCGAAGCAAACCAUUGGGGGAACUCAAGGAGCAGUCGAGAAAAUUAUAGUCGCCAGACUCACUGCAGAUAUACCAAAAGUAGCGAAUGGGGUCAAUUUCGUCGUGCGGUACGCCGGCGCUUGCAAACAGACGGAGUCAAAGCCCAGCAGAAUGGGGCCAGGUGGCCAGCUCUUUUCCAUGCUUCUGGUGAUAGGAAUUCUGUACUUUGGAGGAGGUGCGGUGUACAAACAUGUGAAUGGAGCACGGGGCGUUGAGCUACUCCCUCACCAUUGGUUCUGGACAAAUCUCCCAAAUCAUGUUGUCGAUGGCUGCUUAUUCGUCGUACGAAUUGGGACCUGUCAGGGGCGCCCGUACUACAAUCAAAACCCUGAUUAUGGUUCAACUUCACCAGCGGGGGUAUCCCCCACGGGCCGGACAUAUGAAUCCUUAUAGUCGCGAUGGUUGUAUGUUUAAUGCACCGAUUUACGCAUUCUCACACCCAAAGAAGUUAUAAUGUACCAUCACGAUGUUGCCUUCAAGUAUGAAGUGAUACGGUAUGAUUGUAAACAUUACUAUAUUUUGUACUUAACUAGAUAGGAACUGCAUUGUGGGCUAUGGCUUAGGCUGAAUAUAAUUACAACUGUAAUUCCUUGCAAUAAACGUUAGGCUUAAAUGCUUUACAACUAUUUCUGUACAGUAACCAUUAACAUUGUCAGUGUUUGAAGUUGACCGGAGAUGCCUGCUUGCGAUGGCUCCAUCUAACCUAAUCUAUCAAUCGAGUUAGCGUUGAUUAAUGAUGAGUUAAUGCAAUUGAUUUCAUGCAGUAAUGGUUUUUUAAUAAUAAAAAUUAAUAAUAAAUAAAAAUAAAAAAUAACCAUAAAUUAGCGCGCAGUUAUUAAUAACUUGGUGCGUAUAUUACUAAACUCUGUCCGCUUUUGAUUAAGUAGAAGUUGCUGCUAAUGCUUAAUUAAUUAGUUGUCACACAAGAACCCUACGUGAGAAAAUCGGCCGGUUUGUUUACCUAAAUCUAAGCGAUGAAUUAAAACUGGCUCGAAAUCGUAUCGCGUUAUCUGCAUUUGCUGUACUAAGCACUAAUACUUCAUAAGCUGUUUUCACUUUUGUAGGUUUCUUUUUAUCAGAAGCCAUCGCCUGCUAUAAGUGAACUAUGUGCGACCAUUACUGCUUAAACCAAAGCCAUAUUAUAAGCCUGUUCAAGAGAAUCAGACCUGAUUAGUUUUGAAAAGUAACUUUUUGUGGAGGAUGUUGAAAAGCGUUGUUUCCUCAUUUAGAAUGCCACACAAAAUAAGUCUAUCAGAACUGUCUGCAGUGAUAAUUAUAUUUUUACUCACUUUAUCCUUGUCAGUUGCGACCUAUGCGAACAGCGAAGUUGCUCUGUUCAAAACUGCAGAAAUUGAUUAGCGGAUUGCUACUAGUAUUCAGAGACGAAGCGUUAUUUAGUAUACAAAUACCAAACGUGCCCGGAAGUAUGCAAUAACUGCGCGGAAACUACGUAGAGUAUAAUGCCAACGUUACAUAUGCGGGAAUAUUUUGAAAUCUCAUCCAAUCUGCUUUUUCAUUUUCCAAUGUGUUGUAUUUUCAUUGGGAUAUAAAAACUAUAUAUAGAAAGCUCAUGAUAAAGUUUCUCACCUAAAAAACAAAAGAAUGUAACUUAGCUUAGCGUGCACCUACCCGUUCUCAAGCGUUUUCCUAGAAUUUCAUGUAUUUUAUUAGAGUAAGUACAUACGAAUAAGAGCACUUCUUCACAACAGAGUCGAAUGAAGUGCUCAGCUGGUAAAAAAAUUGGUUAGACUAGUAGUAGUUUUAUUGUACUUACUGAUACGCGGCACCUAGUGAUACUCUGUACUGUGUAUAUUAUUUUUAUUAGAGAGAAGAAAGGUUGACUUUGUGUUCUUUUACGUUGUUCUCUCAAGCAGUAAUUGCGAUCCCCUGCGCAGCUUUGAUGGAUAUUUAGGCUAUAGGUUACCUCUAUAGAUCAACGUCGGAUUUGAAAAAUGGAAUGUAAGCACGAGAAGCCUUUGCAUUGUCAUAAGAUGUAUGGAUGAUUUUUUUACAUAUACAAAUGUUAGACCUAUGCAUACGAAGACAUCGCGAACCUGUACAUGAUUAUGACAUGGAAGCUUAUGGAAUGCGGGUAAAAAACAUUUACAGCUGUCUUGAAACUGUAAGUGUAAACGUGCGUGAUAGUGCGUUCACAAUAUGUAUUAGACCGAGUUCGACAAAAAGCAGUUGCCACCGAUGGCGUCUUCUCUAGCAAUGGUUGUUCAGGUGGUGACCAAUGAUCUCGGCUACGGCUGGCUGCCAGUGACAAAAAGUACUAUCUAUAAAAAAAAAGACUCGUUAACUUCGAAUGUAUGUGCCAGCUAAGAAUAAUGUAAUUCGUCAUUUACUCAAAUUAAAGCUAUCCACGUAAAUGCUUAUUCUUAUGUGAUAGGGUUAGCAAUCGAAAUGACAUGUCAUACAUAAUAUAAAGAGGUCGUGUACAGAGCGUUCAACAUUGAGGGGUAGCUACGAUGAAACUGUAAACAAGUGCAGGGCCAAUGAAAUGAUUGAUGGUACGAAACAAAACCUAAGACUAUAUGUUGUAUGAUGGAAUGAGGUGUUACUUAGUGAUGGUCGCGUUUGAAGCUGUUCUCCUAUAGAUGCGGUUGCAGUAAGAUAGCACACCUAAUAACGACUCAUACGGAGGGCAGAAGAUAUUUAUGCCUAUGUAAAUUAGUUGUUGAGGUUGAAGUAUAUAUGCCAAAGUGCAAUCAAAUAGUAUAAUGUGUCUCAAUUGUCUAUAUUUAAAACAAGUCGAAUUGCAAUACAAUGCAAGUCUAAGUGAACACGCCUAAAUCAUUCAUAUCAUCAAGUGAAGUAGUAAAAAUAUGCUCAUAAUAAAUAUUCUUGUUUCAUAUGUGUUGUAUGAGCUGUUCAUUUAAGGGUGACCUAAAUGUGAGAAUUUUAGUUUCAGACAAAUAAGUGAUUUUAUAUUAGAUUGUGCGCACGAGAUAACGAACAGUCCAAUGAAGAGUAGUACUAGUGAGUAGCCCACAUACGUAAGGAUUUAGAAUUGUGAGCUUUCUUAAGUAAAAGUUGACAUGUAGU